CACGCACACGGACACACACACACCACACCUGGGCACACACACACGGACACACAAAGACACAGACACAGAUAGCUUGAAGUAAGGGAGGAGACUACCCCUCAUAUUGUCUUAUGCCCAAUUUCUGCCUCCAAAGAAAGAAGAAGUAAAAUCUAAAAGGCAGAAAUGAAAUCCACAGCCAGACAGCCCUGCGCCACACCCUGGGCCUGGUAGUUAAAGAUCGACCCCUGACCUACUCUGUUAUGUUAUCUAUAGAUUACAGACAUCGUAUAGAAAAGCACUGUGAAAAUCCCUGUCCUGUUUUGUUCUGAUAUAAUUACCGGUGCAUGCAGCCACCAGUCACAUACCCUCUGCUUCCUCAAUCCAUCAGGACCUUCUCACGCGGACCCCCUUAGAGUUGUAAGCUCUUAAGAGGGACAGGAAUUGCUCACUCAGAGAGCUCGGUUUUUGGAGA
rnacentral:lncRNA from 1 species